rnacentral:rRNA from 1 species
AUUGAACGCUGGCGGCAGGCCUAACACAUGCAAGUCGAACGAGUGGCAGACGGGUGAGUAAUGUCUGGGAAACUGCCCGAUGGAGGGGGAUAACUACUGGAAACGGUAGCUAAUACCGCAUACCAUCGGAUGUGCCCAGCUGGGAUUAGCUAGUAGGUGGGGUAACGGCUCACCUAGGCGACGAUCACUAGCUGGUCUGAGAGGAUGCCCAGCCACACUGGAACUGAGACACGGUCCAGACUCCUACGGGAGGCAGCAGUGGGGAAGAUUGCACAAGGGGCGAAAGCCUGCUGCAGCCAUGACGCGUGUAUGAAGAAGGCCUUCGGGUUGUAAAGUACUUUCAUCGAGGAGGCGUUACUCGCAGAAGAAGCACCGGCUAACUCCGGGCCAGCAGCCGCGGUAAUAC